GAAAACAUUAAAGUCGGGUUUAGUUGCUAGUGGAGAUCCUCAGAAGACUGCAGAGAGUUAUCUUUAACCAUCUCAUGCACAAUCUUUACUCCUUGCAGACACCUGUUUAAAGAUUGACAUUCUACUGGUACCUGAACUCGCUGCGCCAUCUAUCAUCCACUGCUCUGUGAUGCUGUUUUGUUUCUCGUGGCCUAUGGUGUCGUUACUGCCAAUUUGUGUCAUGUCCAGUCCUUUCUCCUAAGCAAGUCAGUGUUAUAUGUGAUAAACAAGCGCCAUUUUCCUUACUGUUACCAGGUAGUAACAGGACAGAGAUUGUGAGAAAAUGCUAAACAUAUCUGACAAAGAAAGAGAUAUGAUCCGACCGACUAAUUGUAGGUAUAUGGAGCAAGUGUUUUGUUACUGUGAUCUCCAAGCUGCAGCACCAGAAGUGAACACAAAGCUAAGCUUUCGCUGACACUUUUAUUGUGACUGAGAAAUUGAACGAUAUACUUUCGAAAUGGAAGCCAUGUUAGGGCAGUCUAGACGAGGUGUAAAUCCAAGUUCAGGACAGGUGACAGUACAGACACAACCUCCAUUAGCUGGACAGGAAACAAAUCCAACAUCAGCUCCAAAUCAUCUUGUAUUCUUAGAGAAGGCAGAAUGUGUGCAUUCCUUCAGUGCUGUAAAACAGACAGAUGAGAGAAGAAUUGGCAUAUAUGGGCUAGCCGUAGAUAAGGAACACUUGUUCAUUGUGGAUAAUGAACAUGACAGAACAAAAGUAUUCACGCAUAAAGGGCAGUUUAAGUUUGACAUUGAAGUAAAAAUUCCAUAUGAUGUGGCUGUGUCACAGACUGGUCACCUGUAUAUAACAUCUAGGGGUGACAGAUGUGUCCAAGUGUACUCCACCAGAGGUCAGCAGGUGACAACCAUGGGUCAGGGUCUACUGGAGGAUCCACGGGGUAUUACACUGAACAGAAAAGGUCAUGUGAUGGUUUGUGACAUGAGAAAGAAAUCCAUCUUCACAUUCCAUGCAGACAGUGGACAGCUCCUGAACACUAUUUCCCUCAGUAUGUGUGAGGAACCAGAGUAUAUCACAGUAAGCAGUUUGAAUGAGAACAUUGUGAUACAAGACUGGUUGGGACAAUGUGUACUUGUGCUGUCACCUACUGGUGAUCAUCUGUACCAGUGUUUCACAAGAGAAGGCAGUGCUGAUGAUGAGCCGAGAUUACCACAUGGAGUGUGCACAGACAGCUAUGGUCACAUCUUCUAUGCCGACAUGGAUAACCACAGUAUAGUGGCACUGAGUCCAAAGGGACAGUUUAUCAGAUACAUUGUCACUAAGGAUGAUGGGUUGAAGAAUCCCAAUUCAGUAGAAAUCAGCCCUGCUGGCCAAAUGGUGGUGGGAGAAAGAAAUGGUGCUGUGAAGAAAUUCAAGUAUGUUCAACAGAAAGGAGAUCAGUUUUCAGAGGAAAUCAAUAGACAAGACCCACUACUGCAAGAAGCAUAUCAACGAGCAUGUAAGGAUGGCUUUGAAAGAGUGAACAGGGCAAGGGUGAUGCUGCUAGGCCAUUACGGUGCAGGUAAAACACGCCUGAGAAAGCGGCUACUCGGACAAGAAUAUGAUGAAGAGAAUGAUCCAAUCACUAAUGGUAUAGAAACUGACUACGUUCUUGUAAAGGAGGGUUGGAAUUCAGAUGAAGCUGAGUGUCAUGGGCCAGCAAUAUCACAUUUGCUUGCUGUUAACACAAGAAAGAUACACGGGGAAAUCCGGGCAAGUCAUGCAGAGCUAAAAGGUGGUCAAGUUGUGGAGGCAACUAAUGCACCAACAUCAGAGAAAGUGGAGAAAUCUUCAUCAAAGCCUCCAGAAAAGCAGUCUGGUGUUAUUCAAGAGGAAAUUAUAACAGUUGCUCCAAAGCCUGAAAAUGAGAUAACUUCAUCGACAGAAAGACACAUUUUAGUAUCACAAGAGAAGGAAAGGGAACAUCAGCCCAGCCCUAGUAGUUCCAAGGAGGCUUUGUCCUAUUUAAAAACAGAGGAGAGUAUGGAGCUCCCGCCUGAUGUCUUAACACAUUUGACAGAAAGCUCGUACGACAUUGAAAAUCCACCAGCUCGUCUAGCAGUCUGGGAUUUUGGAGGGCAAAGUGUGUAUUACAACACCCACCACACAUUCCUUUCUUCCAGAGCUAUUUACAUUCUUGCCAUUGAUAUGAGCCUUGCUUUAACAGACAGGCUUGACGACCAAUGGCAUGGUGCUGAACACUUCUCAGGAACUAUUCUUGACUUCACUGAUUAUUGGAUAGACGCAAUCCAUACUUAUGCACUACGGCAAGACAUGAGUGAAGAUGGGAUUUUGUCCCCCCGAAUAAUCAUCGCUUGCACGCAUAAAGACAAAUACCUGGAAAAUGUUCCCAUAGAAAGGCAUGAAGAAGAAAUAAAUGCGUACUUUGGGAAAUUGCGGCAGCAUAUACAACAGAAGAGAAGUGGUGUGCAUGUUGAUCCUCGUUUCUUUGCAAUUGACAACACAUGUCAAGAUGAAGAUCCUGAAAUAUCUGAUCUCCGUCAAUAUGUUAUGAAAAUUGCUGAAAGCCAAAAAUGUUGGGGAGAGAAGAAUCCAAUUAGAUGGAUUAGAUUAGAAGAAGAGCUUCAGCUACGACGACCACCUGAGAAACGAGGAAAAAAGUGGAUAAGGUAUGAGGAGCUGCAAAAUUUAGCUCUUAAAGUUGGAAUGCAGGAUGCCAUUGAGCUGAAGUCAUUCCUCCAGUUCCAUCAUGACAUUGGAGAUCUUAUGCACUUUCAGACUGAUGAUCUCUCAGACACUGUCAUUUUGAAUCCAACAUGGCUGAUAGAUGCAUUCAGGUCUAUUAUAGCAGUUGAUAAACACCAUGUCAAAACCAAAGGGACUCCAUAUUGGUCUGCAUUAAAGAGGGGCAUCUUAGAUGAAAGACUUUUGGAUGAGCUAUGGGGAGUUGACAGCGAGUUGAAGCCCAUUGUAAUUGGUGUUAUGGUACAAUUCAACAUUCUGUUGGAACAGGACGUCAAGCCAGGUACAACAGAAAAGCCUACUUCUCGACAGUUCUAUGUGCCCAGCUUACUCCAGAUAUGCAAGAAUCCAGAAUCUGGGGUUGGCAGUGAAGGAACACUAUUUAUACAAGGGAAAGAGAACUUUAUGCCACAUUUGCUGUUUAAUCGGCUUACAUCGAAAUUAGUCCAAAAUGACACAUCUCCAGCUAGGAAAGGUUUAAGAAGAAGAGGUGACUUUUUCCUCAUUAAAAAUGAGCUGUACUAUGAUUAUGCUGUAUAUGCAAUUGAUCCACGCAGAGGAGCACGUUGUGCUUUGAGAAAGACAACAAAAUCCUCUUGCAUCGAACUGAUUCCCUUAUAUCCUUCGAAGACAAAGUUUGACAGAACAAUCCGAGGGGCAUAUGCUAAGUGGAAGAACCAUGUUUUGAUGCAAAUUCAGCAAGUUAAGCAGACUGUCAGCCCACAUUUGCAGCUCAAAUGGUGUGUCAGGGACCCAAGAAAGCCAAAGGUCAGAGAGGAGCUGAUGGUAAUAGAUCCGAAGGAGACUGAUCUGACAACCUGUGGGUUGCCAGAGGAUUCAGUGUACAGACUGUGGUUUAUGCCAGGCUCAAGUGAGAAGGAGCAUAGUGUUACCCCACCUGCCAAGACAUUAUCAAGUGUUGCUGGAGGAUUGGCAUACAGCUCAAAUUAGAAAACCAUCUCUGUUGGAUUAAUGAGACAUUCCAGAAUAUUUGAUUUAUGAAGUCAAGGAUGGGCUUAGGAGUGAAAUGGAGUAUAAGAAACUUAGACAGAAUGGGAUCCAAUUUGCUGAGGCACUUAAUAUUGAUAUUGGAAGAAUUUUAGAUUACUGUAAUCAAGAUGCCAUGGUACCAGAUCAUGAGAUUACAGUGCUUGAAAUUAAUGCCAGAAAAAAAAAAAUCCACAAAGUGCCUGUACAAAGACCAUUGCAAGCAACCCUGAAAAACAACCAAUUAGAUAUUUGAAACACGUCCUCAGACAAUGCCAACAUUGGCGUCUGGCAGAUGAAGUUAGCUACCAGGAUGUAGAGGAUGAGAUUACCAGGAUGUAGAGGAUGAGAUUACCAGGAUGUAGAGGAUGAGACUACCAGGAUGUAGAGGAUGAGGUUACCAGGAUGUAGAGGAUGAGAUUACCAGGAUGUAGAGGAUGAGAUUACCAGGAUGUAGAGGAUGAGAUUAGAGAUUACAGAAUCAUGGAGUAGGAGGUAUCUUGUGAAGAGCCAUUGGCAAAAGGGAUGGAAGAUUCCUUACUUGUGUGAGAGGCUUUUUUAUGCACUUUGGGUCAACAAGGACUAAGAACCUAUGGUCUAUUACCAUAGAUAUUGACAUCAGAUGAAUAUAUAUUUAUAUAUAUAUAUAUAUAGUGAAUCGAAAGGAGGGUCAGGACCCCCUGACACCCCCCAAAUCCACCACUGGGAAGAUGUUUCAAUAUGUAACAUAUGAUAUAAUACACUCAGUUUUCACUGUCAUAGUUUAAUAAUUUAUUGUGUUUGUAUAUAGGUUCAUUAAUUAUGUUGUUAUUAUUCAAGGUGGAUGUUUUAAUAUGUAACAUUAUAUUAAAUUUGCAAGAGCAUUGGAUAUAUGUAAAAAUAUGCACUUUAUGUAGUUAUAUUCCCUCAAAGAUGUCAACAACACAUAAAUAUGCAAAGAAGUUUCAGUAUGUGAUAUGUAAGAUAUGAAAUACUGGAUUCUCAUUCAGGGUAAUGUAACCUCUGUAAAAUUAUAUUUCUAAAACCAUUGUAUAUGUGUAAAAAGUAUAAAUAUGUACUUGAUGUAAAUAUAUUUACUCAAAGAUGCCAAUAUAUAUAUAAGUACAUAGAAAUUAUCUAAGCAAAAUUACAUUCAAACUGCAUUCAGCAUAAAGUAAUUGACUACUGACCAACUGAAACAGCACUAUCUAUCUAUCUAUUUAUCUAUAUCUCUCUCUAUAUAUAUAUAUCAGUACAUAGAAAUUAUCUAGCAAAAUUCCAUUCAAACUGCAUUCAGCAUAAAGUAAUCGACUACUGACCAACUGAAACAGCACUAUCUACACCCCAGAGUCAAGCUGUAUGUACACCUGAUCCACAUUAAGUUACAGCUGUUGGAGCCCGUUCAGAAUAGAAUAUCCAAGUAUCAACUGGUCCAAGCUCAAAUAUGGCAGACCCUACAUGAAAGGAAGACCGCUUAAGCCUGUAGUGGUCUCUCCACCUCUUUCACGCCUCCCCACUCAUCCUCCCUGCAGGGGCACAGUAACUGUAAUUAAAUUUCGGUUCAAUUCGACCGGUUGAGGGACGACGCAUAGGGAGGCAUGUGAGAGGCGGAGAGAUCAUUACA
rnacentral:misc_RNA from 1 species